ACGGGAGGCAGCAGUCGGGAAUUUUGCGCAAUGGAGGAAACUCUGACGCAGUGACGCCGCGUGCAGGAAGAAGGUUUUCGGAUUGUAAACUGCUUUAGACAGGGAAGAAAAAAGACAGUACCUGUAGAAUAAGCUCCGGCUAACUACGUGCCAGCAGCCGCGGUAAUACGUAGGGAGCAAGCGUUAUCCGGAAUUACUGGGUGUAAAGGGAGUGUAGGCGGGACUGUAAGUCAGAUGUGAAAUAUGCCGGCUCAACUGGCAGACUGCAUUUGAAACUGCGGUUCUUGAGUGAAGUAGAGGUAAGCGGAAUUCCUAGUGUAGCGGUGAAAUGCGUAGAUAUUAGGAGGAACAUCAGUGGCGAAGGCGGCUUACUGGGCUUUAACUGACGCUGAGGCUCGAAAGCGUGGGGAGCAAACAGGAUUAGAUACCCUGGUA
rnacentral:rRNA from 1 species